rnacentral:rRNA from 1 species
AUUGAACGCUGGCGGCAGGCCUAACACAUGCAAGUCGAGCGGAGCGGCGGACGGGUGAGUAAUGCCUAGGAAUCUGCCUGGUAGUGGGGGAUAACGUCCGGAAACGGGCGCUAAUACCGCAUACUAUCAGAUGAGCCUAGGUCGGAUUAGCUAGUUGGUGGGGUACAGGCCUACCAAGGCGACGAUCCGUAACUGGUCUGAGAGGAUGAUCAGUCACACUGGAACUGGGACACGGUCCAGGCUCCUACGGGAGUCAACAGUGGGGAAUGUGGGACAAUGGGCGAAAGCCUGAUACAGCCAUGCCGCGUGUGUGAAGAAGGUCUUCGGAAUGUAAAGCACUUUAAGUUUGGAAGCGUUACCCGCAGAAGAAGCACCGGCUCACUCCGUGCCAGCAGCCGCGGUAAUUC